GGGACGUGGCGCUGCUAUACAUGCAGUCGAGCGGAUUGAUGGGAGCUUGCUCCCUGAUAUCAGCGGCGGACGGGUGAGUAACACGUGGGUAACCUGCCUGUAAGACUGGGAUAACUCCGGGAAACCGGGGCUAAUACCGGAUAACUCAUUUCCUCGCAUGAGGAAAUGUUGAAAGGUGGCUUUUACCUACCACUUACAAAUGGACCCGCGGCGCAUUACCUAGUUGGUGAGGUAACGGCUCACCAAGGCAACAAUGCGUACCCAACCUGAAAGGGUGAUCGGCCACACUGGGACUGAAACACGGCCCAAACUCCUACGGGAGGCAGCAUUAGGGAAUCUUCCGCAAUGGACAAAAGUCUGACGGACCAACGCCCCGUGAGUGAUGAAGGUUUUCGGAUCGUAAAGCUCUGUUGUUAGGGAAAAACAAGUGCCGUUCGAAUAGGGCGGCACCUUGACGGUACCUAACCAAAAAGCCACGGCUAACUACUUGCCACCAGCCGCGGUAAUACGUAGGUGGCAAGCGUUGUCCGGAAUUAUUGGGCGUAAAGCGCGCGCAGGUGGUUCCUUAAGUCUGAUGUGAAAGCCCACGGCUCAACCGUGAAGGGUCAUUGGAAACUGGGGAACUUGAGUGCAGAAAAGGAAAGUGGAAU
rnacentral:rRNA from 1 species